GACGUAGGGCGCGAGCGUUGUCCGGAUUUAUUGGGCGUAAAGAGCUCGUAGGCGGCUUGUCGCGUCGUCCGUGAAAACUUGGGGCUCAACCCCAAGCUUGCGGUCGAUACGGGCAGGCUAGAGUUCGGUAGGGGAGAUCGGAAUUCCUGGUGUAGCGGUGAAAUGCGCAGAUAUCAGGAGGAACACCGGUGGCGAAGGCGGCAUCCUGGACCGACACUGACGCUGAGGAGCGAAAGCCAGGGGAGCAAACGGG
rnacentral:rRNA from 1 species